ensembl:lncRNA
GCUGUAUUCAGAAAUUGAAGUCCCAAUUAGAGGAAUUAGAAGUCACUAAGAAAGCAACCAAGCAAUCCCAAGAGAUUUCUGUAGACUAUCAGUGAAAUGCUGUCUGCUUUCAUGGAGGUUAUCCAGUGCAGUACAUACUUCUCUGGUACAGCUCUUUUAUUAACAUGCACCUGCAGCCUGAUGGUCCCAAGUGUCCUGCAGAUGGAUGAAAAAGAGGGAAUGUCAUUUCAGAAAGGCUGAACAGCCCAGUUCCCUCAGCCUACCUUCACAGGAGAGGUGCACCAGUCCCUGAAUCAUUUUCACGGUCCUCCUGUGGACCCUCUCCAAAGCCUCGCAUCCUUCCUGUGCUGGGGGCCCGAGUCUUGGAUGUAGUACUCCAGCUGGGGCCUCAUGAGGGCAGACUAGAGGGAGACCAUCGCCUCCCUCGCUCUGCUGGCCACCCCUUUCCUGAUGGAACCCAGGACACCAUUGGCCUUCCAGGUUGCAAGCUCACACUGCUGGCUCAUAUUGAGUUUUUAAUUAACCAGGACCUCUAAGUCCAUCUCAGCAGGGCUAAGCGUCUCCCUGUGUGUCAUCCUCUGCUGAUACCUAUUGGUCAUUAUGUGAGGAACAUAUUUCAUCACCAGUCAUUGAGACACAUCACAGAUUCAGAUACUAUCUUAACAGGCUUGUCACACUGGAAUGAAUUUUCCCAGAUCCAGGGAAAACUAUGAGCUCCUUAGUGAUAACAGUAGUCCUUUCUGAUGCAAAUACAAGGUUAGGCAUUCAGCACUGAUUCGUCCUCCUCCACUAGCAGAAGUGCUCAGUGGUGUAAAUUUAAAUUCUCU